GUUUGCUCAUUUUCUCCCCACAUGCUUCCUCUCGCAAUGCUCAGUCAACCAAGCGCCCUCCACAACGUUUGCUGGGAAUGGGUAGGAUGGAUGCCCCCCGUGCCAGCUCUGUCGAGCCAGCCACCGAGAACCCCAAACUAGCUAUCCUAUGAUGAUCCUUCCGCAGGUUCACCUACGGAAA
rnacentral:misc_RNA from 1 species